rnacentral:rRNA from 1 species
UAACACGUGACUAACCUGCCCUCCACUCUGGGAUAACUCCGGGAAACCGGUGCUAAUACUGGAUAUGACCUGAACAGGCAUCUGUAUCGGGUGGAAAGAUUUAUUGGUGGGGGAUGGACUCGCGGCCUAUCAGCUUGUUGGUGAGGUAAUGGCUCACCAAGGCGACGACGGGUAGCCGGCCUGAGAGGGCGAUCGGCCACACUGGGACUGAGACACGGCCCAG